rnacentral:misc_RNA from 1 species
GUUAUAUGUUACAGAUAUAUGGCCCUACUCCAGCAGUACGAGGCCAUGUCGUUAUAUGUUACAGAUAUGUGGCCCUUCUCCAGUAGUACGAGGCCAUGUCAUUAUAUGUUACAGAUAUAUAGCCCUACUCCAGCAGUACGAGGUCGUGUCGUUAUAUGUUAUAGAUAUAUGGCCCUACUCCAGCAGUACGAGGCUGUGUCGUUUGGUGACUCGUUGUUUGGCUGUUAUAUACUGCUUCCCCUACAACAGAAACAUGUGAUACAGCUGAGGAGGGCUGUUUGGGUAGAAUACAGGGGAAUUCUGAGAACCUUGUACCUUCCCGUUAAAGAGUUGCUAGUCCCCAUUGAGGGUUUCCUUGUUCCUGAAGAGUCGGACACAGAGCUACUCCGACUUUAUCUGGAGGGCUUGUUGUCUGGGAGUGUCCAGCCUCGCUGGUGUCCAGUACUGUAUCUCACCUCCGUCCAUCAUGUCAACCGAUUCUGUUACACCCAAGACGGCAAGCACAUCCAGCUCAAACACAACAUGCUCCGAGACACUGUCAGUUGUCAGAGGCCGGAAGUGAAACAGCACCUAUUGUUCUACAAAACUGCCGAUAUUUCAAGGAAUUAUGGGAUGGAACUGUAUGACACUCUGCCACCGUCACGACAGAAGUUGAUGCAGGACAUUGAACAAAGCUUAAAUAAAGCCUAGCAUAUAUAUAUAUAGCAAAGGCUACGUGGGAAUACUCACAAUGUUGAUGUUUACAGGGAAUGGAUGUUUACGUGAAUCAUAUGGAUGUUUACUGAAACAUGGAUGUUUGUGGUCAAAAUAAUUCGGACUAGUGUUAUGACUGUUUUCUGUGGAUGUUUUGAUUGAAUGAUUUGGUUCACUACAGCCAACUGAAUUGAAAAGAGUGCAAUAUGUUGGAAAUUAUUUUACUCUCAGUUAAUUCAUUAUUACAUUAGUUUUAUUUUUCACUCACAAGACAGAUUUUCAGUGACGUAUUAAAAGUGUAUAAGGAAUCUGUUUGUGAUUGAUUGAGACAAAGAAAUCUUGACAUGUCCCAUCACACAUCGGGGGUGGGGGAUGUGUAUUUCACUGUAAUAUAGACAUGUGACAAAAAAAGUGCUGAUGAUUAAAACAUUAAAAUUUUAAAAUCUUAAAUCAAUUUUGUCGAUUCUAUAUUAUAUUAUAGAAAGUGACUUUAUUUUCAUGAGCUCAUCAAACCCCCACCCCCUCUGUGAUAGUAAGCAAGUGAACCAGCGUUGAUUACCUUUCCAGUAUCCAGGGGCUGUUCUAUAAAUAAAUAUAGGAGAGGAGGUGGGUGGAACGUUUAGAGACCCAACAACCCAUCCAAUUUUGCUGAUACUUCUAAUAGUUGGCUAAUUUCAGAAAACCUACCAACCAAUAUUUAUCAAUGAAAGUGCCUUCCACCCCACCCCACCCCUCCCUUCCAUGUGUUUCUGAAAUAGCUUAGUUAGCAACAUAUAUGCUAAAUUUAGAUUACAGUAGCUAUGCCACCUGCAAUAAAGUUAGGGUGUAUACAGGAUCCGGGUUGUCUGUUUGAUUGUCCUUCCAUUCAUCUGUCCAUCUGAUGUUUUUCUGUAGACAAUGUUGUUCACCCCAAUUCUCCCAAAGUUCUACACUGAUUUUAAUGAUAGUGCCCAGAACCCAUUCAUCCUGGAGAAUGUGAAUAAAGUAUACACAUUGGAGUCUCCUAUAUACAGAGUUAUUCCUGUUUGUUUAAAAGCAUUGCUUGCACUGCUUCCAAAUUGCUGCACAGAUUUGAAUGCUAUUUGGUACAUAACACUUAUAUUGAGGAGAUGAGAGUAAAUAAAAUGAAGUUACCUCCCCUUUUUAUGGAGUUAUGCCCCUUCCUUGAAAAAAAAUGCAUGUUAAUCCUGUCACUUUUAACCUUCAUUCCCAACUAGAGAGACUGGGACAUUGCUGGGACAAUUUUGAAUAUAUAAACCGGGAACAGUGGGACAAGAUUGAUAAAGGCUGGAUUAAUGAUUCACGAAGCUUGAUGUUAGUUGUUUUGCUCUCGGCGUUAACUUCUUUAAGAAUCAGAAGUCAAAUUUGAAUAUGACAACAUAUUCAUCUAAAUAAUUGAGUUGUCAAUGCAUGGGAAUGUCUGGAAAACUAUGUGUAUCAUAUUACCCCUUAAUGUAAAAAAAUCUUCGUACUGUAAAUCAUUUCAUUUUAAUGAAUGUGGAUUUGUUUUACAAAUAGGGAUUCCCCCCCAUUUAAGGUUUCCACAGCUGUGCACCCCUUAAUAUUUUUUUACACUUAAGAAAUUUCUUGCAAUAACGUUAAACAGGCCACCUUAAAGAUCGUACAUUAAGUCAUAUUGGAAAAAAAAACAUUUAAAAAAUAUUUAAGAUUUAUUGGACUUUUACUUCAGUUAUUAUAAUGGUACGUAAUAACGUUAUUUUAGUCAAUAAUAAGGCAUUAAGAUGGUUGUGUUACAAAGUUAAUCAGCAUUAUACCAUGUCAAUCUCUUUUGCGACUCGGCUGAAUGCAUUAGUAUAUUUAUAUAUUUAGUUCAUGCUAAGUCCUUUUCGAGAAAAACGUUCCAGCAAAAGAACUUUGUUUUUCAACAUUAAUUAAUGUCCCAUCGAGGACAUUGGUGAAAUAGUUAGGGCACAGAUACUAGCCUCGUCUUUCAAUACACAUAAUAUGUGUAUUGACAAACGAGGCUAGUACCUGUGGUUGGGGCCAGUUAAUUUUCCAUAUGGUGGUCUCUAGUCCUCACGAAGAGAGAAUAUUUAUUCAGAUAGACAAGGCUGCAAGUUAAAACUAUGGCCAUUUUUUUAUGAACAUGAAACUAGUCUAAAUGUACCUGUACAAUCCAGAAGGAGGGAGCUUUCGGUUUUUUGUUGUAAAGGACGUUAGUGACGGUUAACCAUGAACGUUCAAGGUGUUUUGUCCUUGUAAAGAGUUGUCUUUCUUGCCCUAUCUGGCGGACGAUGUCUCUUGAUCUCAUCGUGGUUAAAGUGCUUGAAUGGAAGACUUUGCUUGAAAAAUAGAUGUUAACUUAAUAUAACUGAAAACGUGUUGGAAUUGAGGUCUUUGCUCGAAAAGUGAAAGAAAUGAAUAGAAAAGUGCUGGAAUACUUUAUCCAUAUUCCAUGGAAAGCGCUUGAACACUGAAGACAAUUAAUAUGAUCACAGAUCGUUCGAAUCCCUGAUCGGACAUAAAAAGGUACUUCACCAGCCAGACCACAUGAUUUUCUCCACAGUGUGAGUUAAGUUAGGUGGGGUGGACUUUUCGACAUGAGAGCGUUCCCUCCUUCUUGUAUAUAUAAUUAUUGGGGGUGUCAUUUUUACCGAAAAUCUAUCUAAACCCCUAAAACAUGUAAAACAACUCUGAACACCUAAGUUUAGGUCCAUGUAUAGUUGUAACAAAUUCUCAGGUUCCGGUGAUUUUCUCCGGGUACUCCAGUUUCCCCCCGUUUAAGACUCUCAGCACCUCUUUCCGUGCGAUAAUUCAAACUUAGUACACAUAUUGCGUACCAAUUAUACUGUAGCUCAGAGAGUUCGCAUUUCAGUAGUCUACAUGCAUUUUUGGUGGAGUUAAGCUCCUUUUAUUGCAAAAAAGGGCAUUGUGCGUGUAGUAAAUGCAAGAACGUUUUUUUAUUUUUUAAUCAUGCCAGAAGCAAUAAUGUUCAACAUAUAUUACGGGUUUUUCUGUCGAGUCUCCACUUUCCGCGUUUUGGCAUAUCACACUUGACAUAGCAACGCUGUUCAUCGUUUUUGCUGUUAAUUUUUUCUUGUUUACGCGAUUACUCAAGCUAAAACACUUUUCUUACUUUUAAAAGCGCCGAGCAGGCGACACAUCCACUCCUGUGUAAUUCUUGUUAGAUAAACCCACGCAUCAGUGCAUACAUUUCACUAGUCGAGUUAUUUACUGUUGCACAGGUCUGAGAUCAUGGCUGUUACUUUAUUUUGCAGGUUGUUGGAGACGUUUUGAUAUAAACAUUUGUCAGACAAUUACAAGAUAAUGUUCGAAUAAAGACGAGCUUAAAGUGA